rnacentral:lncRNA from 1 species
UGUUUCAACCGACAUGUGAAGCUGUAGUGGAUAUUGUUUUUUUAUUGGACUCAUCUGCUAGUUUGAGAAAAUAUUAUCAAAAUGAAAAAGAUUUUUUAAAGUCUUUAAUUUCUGCUUUCGGUGUAAGCAUCAAUAGUACAAGAGCCGCAGUGAUUACAUUUAGUUAUCAUGCUCAACUCAGUAUAAAGCUAAACAAGUAUAGCAACUUGAACAGCUUCAAGGAAGCAGUUGAUAAUAUUGUGCUGAUGGGUUCCACAACGAGAAUAGACAAAGCUCUUCGUCUGGCUCAGAAAGAAGUGUUUGAAUUAGAGAACGGUGCUAGACCGGGAGUAGCAAAAAUUCUCUUUUUACUAACAGAUGGCUCUCAGACCCAGGAACGUGGUUCAGAAAACCCUGUAGUCAUUGCAAAUGAGUUGCGCUCUGCUGGUGUUACCAUUAUUGUCAUAGGUAUUACUAAUGCAGUGGAUGUAAGUGAAUUAUUUGACAUCGCUGGUGGAGAAGAAAACGCUUAUUUUGCUGAUUCGUUUGAAAAACUUAAGGACGUUAAUUUUCUAGAAGUUGUCAAAAGAAAGAUGUGUGAAACAGCAAACGUGACUUUAUAACCACCACAUACUCAACGACAUUAAGUAUCACAAGAAAACCAAUUUUAUCUAACCCCAGCUAAAUUAAAGGUAGAUCUUUAGGGACAUUUUAUGGAGGAUAUGAUUGGCAUGGUUGGUUAUUAAAGUGUGAAGUUGUUUUUAAAUGCUGCCGAAACCUUUAUUUAAACAACAACAUCAGAUUUUUUGAAUUUUAAAUUUGAAUUUUAAAUUUAAAUUAAAACUGUAACACAUUUUAAAUUUAUAUUUUUUAGUUUUAAUAUUUUAUAUUUAUUUUUUGUAAAUUUCUCUUCAACUUCAAAAUAUAAAAUAAAUUUUUUAAUCCGUUUGUUAAAUAUAAUUUGUGAAUUU